rnacentral:misc_RNA from 1 species
CAGCCUCAGUUUGAUCUUCAAAUUGUUUCCCAAAAACCCUUGUAAAAAUUCAGAAGUGCACAGGAGCUGCCGUUUUUGCAGCCCAACAGAGAAGCAGAACAAAACGGUCGAAAACACUUUUAAAAAAUACCAAAUAAAUAAGACAGGAGAGGCCCCAACUCGCUGAAGUUUGAAAAACCCAAGUAAACUAUUCGAGCUUUAACACUACCAGACAGAGAGAGCAUAGCGUAGUCCCAUUCAAAAAUCAAACCUUGUUCAAAUCUGCGGGUAAAAAUCUUUCUCUCUCCUCUGUGUCAGAGCUCCCUGUCUGCUUAGAUUCUGUAAGAUGUAAAAGAAAACGCAUUAUUAUACUCCGCUGUGUUUCCAGAUAGAGAAACAGAGGAUUAAAUAUCGAACAUGAUUAUGGUCGUACAGAGGAUUCGACCGUUGAGAUCUGGUGAAAUUUGAAUGUGCUCUUCCAACCUUUACGUUACCGAUGAACUCAGGUGGCGAG